rnacentral:rRNA from 1 species
GACGAACGCUGGCGGCGUGCUUAACACAUGCAAGUCGAACGAUGAAGCUGGAGCUUGCUCCGGUGGAUUAGUGGCGAACGGGUGAGUAACACGUGAGUAAUCUGCCCUUGACUCUGGGAUAACUGCGGGAAACUGUAGCUAAUACCGGAUUCGACACCUUCGGGCAUCCGAUGGGUGUGGAAAGAAUUUCGGUCAAGGAGGAACUAGCGGCCUAUCAGCUAGUUGGUGAGGUAAUGGCUCACCAAGGCGACGACGGGUAGCCGGCCUGAGAGGGUGACCGGCCACACUGGGACUGAGACACGGCCCAGACUCCUACGGGAGGCAGCAGUGGGGAAUAUUGCACAAUGGGCGAAAGCCUGAUGCAGCAACGCCGCGUGAGGGAUGAAGGCCUUCGGGUUGUAAACCUCUUUUAGUUGGGAAGAAGCGAAAGUGACGGUACCAACAGAAAAAGCACCGGCUAACUACGUGCCAGCCGCCGCGGUAA